rnacentral:rRNA from 1 species
GACGAACGCUGGCGGCGUGCCUAAUACAUGCAAGUCGAACGCAGUGGGGACGGGUGAGUAACACGUGGGUAACCUCCCAUCAGAGGGGAUAACACUUGGAAACAGGUGCUAAACCGAUACUGAUGGAUGGACCCGCGGUGCAUUAGCUAGUUGGUGAGGUAACGGCUCACCAAGGCCACGAUGCAUAGCCGACCGGAGAGGAUGAUCAGCCACACUGGGACUGAGACACGGCCCAGACUCCUACGGGAGGCAGCAGUGGGGAAUCUUGCACAAUGGGCGAAAGCCUGAUGCAGCCAUGCCGCGUGUAUGAAGAAGGCUCUCGGGUUGUAAAGUACUUUCAUGCGGGAGGCGUUACCGACAGAAGAAGCACCGGCUAACUCCGUGCCAGCAGCCGCGGUAAUAC